rnacentral:rRNA from 1 species
GACGAACGCUGGCGGCGUGCUUAACACAUGCAAGUCGAGCGGUAAGGCCCUUUCGGGGGUACACGAGCGGCGAACGGGUGAGUAACACGUGGGUGACCUGCCCUCAGCUCUGGGAUAAGCUUGGGAAACCGGGUCUAAUACCGGAUAUGACUCCAUGACGCAUGUUGUGGGGUGGAAAGCCUUGUGCGGCUGAGGAUGGGCCCGCGGCCUAUCAGCUUGUUGGUGGGGUGAUGGCCUACCAAGGCGACGACGGGUAGCCGGCCUGAGAGGGCGACCGGCCACACUGGGACUGAGACACGGCCCAGACUCCUACGGGAGGCAGCAGUGGGGAAUCUUGCGCAAUGGGCGAAAGCCUGACGCAGCGACGCCGCGUGAGGGAUGACGGCCU